rnacentral:rRNA from 1 species
GCUACGGGAGGCAGCAGUGAGGAAUAGUGGUCAAUGGACGAGAGUCUGAACCAGCCAAGUAGCGUGAAGGAUGACUGCCCUAUGGGGUGUAAACUUCGUUUAUAAAGGAAUAAAACGAGGCACGUGUGCCUUUUUGCAUGUACUUUAUGAAUAAGGAUAGGCUAACUCCGUGCCAGCAGCCGCGGUAAUACGGAGGAUCCGAGCGUUAUCCGGAUUGAUUGGGUUUCAAGGGAGCGUAGAUGGGUUGUUAAGUCAGUUGUGAAAGUUUGCGGCUCCACCGUAAAAUUGCACUUGAUACUGGCAGUCUUGAGUACAGUUGCGUUCGGCGGAAUUCGUGUUGUAUCGG